GAUUUCUACAUUAACGUAUGCGUAAGACCACCUGGUUCCCGCCGCUCUUCGGGUUUACAAAGACCAGCAGAGGCUUCAUGAGCGGAGAGGGCACGGGCUUCAGCAGGAAGGGUUUCCAGCGGCCGUCUUGGAGCUGAGAAGUGCCUCACCAGAGACUUGGCGAUGCAGUACUGCUCGCCCACGUAGCAGAAGUCUCCGGAGCCGCUGGUCUCAAACCAGAUGUGCUCACCGAACUGGGCAUUUUCCUGCACCGCACAAGAACAAGCGCACGUCAUCAUUCAUCAGCCAGUUUGACAUGAGUGCCUCGUUCCCAGGCGAUGUGUGCGACGUGCAACAAACAAACCAAAAACCCAAAAACCUGGACUCUCUGGAUCUGUCUAAGCCAGGACCAGGACCAAGAUCAGGACCAAGAUCAGGACCAGGUUCAGAGUUUCAUCCCUGGUUUUAUCCUCUUUUGUUGUUUCUCUCUCUCUCUGUCUUGAACACAGAUGAAUGAAGCCGCCGACCCACUCCACCAUCCCAGAAUACUCUUCAUUAACACUUCAAGGCUCUGGGUCUACUGCAUUAUGGAUCCAAUUUAAAAAUAAAUAAAUAAAUAAAAAUGUAAAAACGGGAGAGAAAACAAGAUCUGAGGCUGUGUGUGUGUGU